CACUGAGCUUCCGCGUGAGCUGUGCUCUCCUCCCGGAUUGCUCACUCCCUUCUUCUUAGAGAAUACAUGCUCUUCUUCUAAAGGUUGGCUCAAGAAUCUCCUCCAUUAUAAAGCUGUCCUAGCCUCCCCAGUGGCAGCCCUGAAUGCACCUAGUGAUGGCCACAAGAAGAAAGCAGAUUGGAUCCCCGAAUGAUCUUGGAAGGGACUACCCCAGUGAGCUGACUGACCUGCAGCGGAUUUUGAAUGAACAAUAAAUCAGCUUUUAUGUGUCAA